UCGGAGGCGCGCACACAGGUGCUGCAUGGCUGUCGUCAGCUCGUGUCGUGAGAUGUUGGGUUAAGUCCCGCAACGAGCGCAACCCACGUCCUUAGUUGCCAUCAUUCAGUUGGGCACUCUAGGGAGACUGCCGGUGAUAAGCCGCGAGGAAGGUGUGGAUGACGUCAAGUCCUCAUGGCCCCUUACGGGAUGGGCUACACACGUGCUACAAUGGCGGUGACAGUGGGAGGCGAAGGGGCGACCUGGAGCAAAUCCCCAAAAACCGUCUCAGUUCAGAUUGCACUCUGCAACUCGAGUGCAUGAAGGCGGAAUCGCUAGUAAUCGUGGAUCAGCAUGCCACGGUGAAUACGUUCCCGGGCCUUGUACACACCGCCCGU
rnacentral:rRNA from 1 species